rnacentral:tRNA from 1 species
GGAGGUACAGCUCAGUGGUAGAAUACUUGCCUACCAAGUAUGAGGUCCUGGGUUCAAUCCCAGCACCUCAA